rnacentral:lncRNA from 1 species
UUUUUUUUUGUAAAACCAGAACCAAAAACCAUAGACAAAAAACAUGACAGGGUGGCAGCUAGCAAAAGAACAGUAUUUUAAGUUCCUGCUUUACCCUUUUUUAAUUUUUGAAUAUACAAAAUUAGAUUUGCUUUUUUACUGACUAUUCUUGUCGAUUACAGGAAUAUGGGUAUAUAUAUUUAUUUAUUUAACAUUUUUUAAAUCAAAUUAUGUAUUACUUUUUUCUUUUUCUUUUUUUUCUUUUUAACGGUCUCCCCACACACAAGCUUUAUCGACAAGCAUGCUAUGAAUUUUC